CCACCCACCCCUCCUCCCUCACUGCUGGCCAUUUGCCCUUUUCUGGCCAAGAGUCACAGGGUGCAGAAACAGAGGCCCCAAGAGGCAAAGUCACUUGCCCGAAGUCUCAGCUCACUUGCUCUAGGGGAAGCCAGUUGCCAUAUCAUGAGGACACUCAAGCAGCCCCACGGGGGGAUCCACACAGGGAACUGAGCAGCCACCUUGGGGAGUGGAACUGCAGUCCAGUCAAGGGUUCGGAUGAGACUACAACCUUGGCCAACAUCACAGCUGCAACUUCUUGAAAGACCAUGAAUCAGAACCACCUUAAGCCGCUCCCAGGUUUCUGACCCGUGGAAACUAUCAGAUACUCAGUGGUAAUUGUGGUAAGUCACUAAGUUUUGGAGUAAGA